ACGUACACUCCUGCGGGAGGCAGCAGUGGGGAAUAUCGCACAAUGGGCGCAAGCCUGAUGCAGCCAUGCCGCGUGUAUGAAGAAGGCCUUCGGGUUGUAAAGUACUUUCAGCGGGGAGGAAGGCGAUAAGGUUAAUAACCUUGUCGAUUGACGUUACCCGCAGAAGAAGCACCGGCUAACUCCGUGCCAGCAGCCGCGGUAAUACGGAGGGUGCAAGCGUUAAUCGGAAUUACUGGGCGUAAAGCGCACGCAGGCGGUCUGGCAAGUCGGAUGUGAAAUCCCCGGGCUCAACCUGGGAACUGCAUUCGAAACUGGCAGGCUAGAGUCUUGUAGAGGGGGGUAGAAUUCCAGGUGUAGCGGUGAAAUGCGUAGAGAUCUGGAGGAAUACCGGUGGCGAAGGCGGCCCCCUGGACAAAGACUGACGCUCAGGUGCGAAAGCGUGGGGAGCAAACAGGAUUAGAUACCCGGGUAGUCCCAU
rnacentral:rRNA from 1 species